ensembl:snoRNA snoRNA:Psi28S-2622 snoRNA:Psi28S-2622
GGGGGCCUGUGAAAUCAGUUUGUUGCAAUUUGACGUUACUAGAAUUGUUGCACUUUCCGCGGGCCCAGAGAGAUACUUCCGGAUAAUCAUAGGCUGCUGGUUUUCAAUACCAUAGUCUAUUUCAUGGCCGGCAAACAAAU